rnacentral:tRNA from 1 species
CGAGGCAUAGCUAAACUAUUAUAGCAUCUCCCUUACUCAGAGAAGUCCCCCGUGCAAACCGGGUUGCCUCGA